UACGGGGGGGGCAAGCGUUGUUCGGAAUUACUGGGCGUAAAGGGCUCGUAGGCGGUUUGUCGCGUCGGGGGUGAAAACCAGGUGCUUAACACCUGGCUUGCUUUCGAUACGGGCAGACUAGAGGUAUGCAGGGGAGAACGGAAUUCCUGGUGUAGCGGUGAAAUGCGCAGAUAUCAGGAGGAACACCGGUGGCGAAGGCGGUUCUCUGGGCAUGACCUGACGCUGAGGAGCGAAAGUGUGGGGAGCGAACAGG
rnacentral:rRNA from 1 species